CGUAAACAGAGGGAAGCGAGCCUGCGAGGGGGAGCGAAUCCCAAAAAUAACGUCCCAGUUCGGAUUGUAGUCUGCAACCCGACUCCAUGAAGCUGGAUUCGCUAGUAAUCGCGCAUCAGCCACGGCGCGGUGAAUACGUUCCCGGGCCUUGUACACACCGCCCGUCAAGCCAUGGAAGCCGGGAGUGCCUGAAGUGCGUGACCGCAAGGAGCGCCCUAAGGCAAUACCGGUGACUGGGGCUAAGUCGUAACAAGGUACC
rnacentral:rRNA from 1 species